UUUUGUAACAGUGAUUUUUAAAAUUAGCUGUGUUGGAGUUUGAUUUGAAGUCUUAUAUUCAUUGUUUUAUGGAUUACAACUGCAAUCGUACAGAAUAAUGACAGAGAGAAAAUACAAGUACCACUGACAUUACAUGCGGGAUGGCACCCACUAAAGUGGUAGGGAAAGUGUUAUUUUGCACACUAGUCAGUGAGCACCUUACUAAACAUUCAUGCAGAGUAAAGCAACCUGUAUACCACCAGGCAAUGUGUUCAUGUAUUCAGGGCAUAGGCACAACCUGUAUACCACCAGGCAAUGUGUUCAUGUAUUCAGGGCAUAGGCACAACCUGUAUACCACCAGGCAAUGUGUUCAUGUAUUCAUGGUAUAGGCACAACCUGUAUACCACCAGGCAAUGUGUUCAUGUAUUCAUGGCAUAGGUACAACCUGUAUACCACCAGGCAAUGUGUUCAUGUAUUCAUGGCAUAGGCAUCCAGGGUGGUAGGAUCAGGUCCACAGAAGAUGUCACUUAUGGAGUGCAGGCUGCAAUAUGCCAUGAUCACAGUCUUCAUGGAUCGCACAUUUAUCUUUCAGGUGUAUGUAAAUAAUGUGCACAGAGACUUUCCAAACUGGAGUAACUUUGUCGGUGACAGGUAACUUGUAAUUUUUGCCAGGGCUGUUAUCAGGUAUUACAGCUACACCUCCUACACUUUUCACAUUAUCACACACAUAAAUGUUCAUAAUUCAGCCUUCUUUUGUAGUCAGUGUGAUAUGGCCAGUUUCACUGAAAAGAUAUUCCACUUUAAAUGAUCUGUGGAAUAAAAAUGAACUCACUGCAUGUAAAGAUACAAGUAAAAGUAUUCCUGCAACAGUUUUGUAAAAUGGUUUGAGGAUGGAUCUUUCAUUCUUCCCCUUGCCCAAAAUAAAGGAUGCACUAUGUGCCUGUAUUACAACUAAUAUUGAUGACAAAGACAACAGGUCUGCAGUUUUACAGGCGGAUUGCUAAGGUCUACAUCAAUGUUCAUUUAUGUUUUCAUACAAUGCUUGUCAAGAUGAAAAUAAAUCUUUAUUGAAGUCCAAACUACAAUGAAAGCAAAUACAAAUUAUAAUUCAAUUGUCAGUAAUAUAAUAUUACAAAAAUGAUAGGUAAAUGAUUUAUUUUUACUGACAAAUACUGAUGCUUCAGAUAGGAAUGUUGCUCAAAUUCUAAAAUAUUAUAAUCUUGUUUGCUGCUACAAAAAUUAUGAAGGAAUAUAAGCAAGCUUAAACAUCUUUUUAAUAUAGUUUUUUUAAAUAUGUCACUGAGAGUUCCUGUAGCUAUUAGUCAUCAUUUAGUAACUUUAGAGAGAUUUAAUGGGAGCUGGGAUCAAAAAAAGAUUUGAAGGUUAGGAAAGCUCUACAAUGGUCAUUUGUACACCACAAACAAUGCAACUAACUCCCAUCACAGCAUGCAAAGAUAAAGCUGCUGCCUCCAAGUAUCAGUGCUUAACAUCCCUUAGGUGUGUAUGUGACCAGUUCAGAAAUGCAGCAUUCCUUAGGUGUAUAUGUGACCAGUUCA